UCCCCAAGGAGACAGGACAGGAGGUAGUAAGGAUUCUCAAAGAAUCUUUCAUGUCCCUUUGAGAGUCAUUAUGGAGAGAUGGCCCACCCUAAAAUGAUGAGGCUUCGCUGACUCCAGAGUGCCUUCUCCUCUCAGAAGUAGCAUUCAUAGGAGCAGGGUUGGGAUUGGCAGAAUAAUGGAUACUUCCACUUGAAUAUCUCAGGAUGAGCUUCCAGGCUAUUCCUACACUCCAGCAGCUGGUAUCAACCAUGACCACCUCCAGAAACAUGAAUGACACCCAGAAAUGUGACUGUGGCCUCUGCAACGGGGCAUGGGAAAGCCUCUGCUCUCAGCAAUGUGAAAGUAUAAAAUGAAUAAAUCUUUUCCUCCCCAA